rnacentral:rRNA from 1 species
UUCAAACUUAAAAAUAAGCUUAUGGUAAAUACCUUGGUACUCAGAGACGAAGAAGGGCGUAAUAAAGUACGAAAAAGCUUUAAAUAAAUUUUAUAAAAUUUAAAGAUUCCCAAAUAGAUUAAUUUUUAAAACUGCCUUUAUAAGGUAAGAGAUAACCUGGAGAACUGAAACAUCUUAAUAUCCAGAGGAAAAUAAAACAAAAGUAAUUUCCUUAGUAGUGGUGAGCGAAAUGGAAAUAGUCUAAAUCAUUAAAAUGAUGUUGUAGGUAAGUUAUUAUGUAAAAUUACAAAAUAUUAUAGAUAAAACAGAUCAAAAUACUGUACCCUAGAUGGUUAAAGUCCAGUAGUCUAAAUAUAAAAAUCAUAUUUAUUACUUAAAUUAAGUAACUUAUCUAAGUAACAUGGAAUAAUUUAAUUCCGUGUGAAUCUACAAGAACCACCUUGUAAGACUAAAUACUCCUGAGUAACCGAUAGCGAACUAGUACCGUGAGGGAAAGGUAUAAUAUAUCUUUUAAAAGAUAUAUUUAAAUGAAACCAAAAGCUGUCAAUUUGUAGGAGGAGAAUUUCUCUGACUGCGUGCUUGUUGAAGAAGGAGCCAGCGACUCAUAAGUAAUGGCUUUGGUUAAGAAAAAGAUAAGUUGUAGCCAUAGCGAAAGCAAGUCUCUAACGGCAAUAAAUAUAUAUAAUAAAUAUUAUAAUGUCAUUACUUAUGUACCCGAAACUGGAUGAUCUAUCUAUGGUCAGGAUGAAAUUUAUUUAAAACUAAAUGGAGGUCCGAACCGACUGAUAAUGCAGAAUCAGCGGAUGAAUUGUGGAUAGCGGUGAAAUGCCACUCGAACCCAGAGCUAGCUGGUUCCCCCCGAAAUGUGUCGAAGCACAGCAGUUAAUUAUUAUAACAGGGGUAAAGCACUGUUUUAAUUUUAAAUUUUAUACAAACUAAGAAUACUGUACAAUUAAAAAUUAACUAGUGAGACAAUGGGGGAUAAGCUUCAUUGUCAAGAGGGAAACAGCCCAGAUCAUUAGUUAAGGCCCUUAAAUUAUUAGUAAGUGGAUAAGGAUGUGAAAGUGCAUAGACAGUCAGAAGGUUUGCUUGGAAGCAGCUAUCCUUUAAAGAGUGCGUAAAAGCUCACUGAUAAAGUGUUUUUGUGCCGAAAAUACACGGGUCUAAACUAAUAUGCCGAAACUAUGAGAUUAAAAAUCGGUAGGGGGGCGUUCUGUUUAAAUUUAUGUCAGAAGUGAGAAUGUUGGCUUGAGUAACGAAAACAUAGGUGAGAAUCCUAUGCCCCGAAAAUCUAAGGAUUCUUUCGAAAUAUUUAUAUGCGAAAGUUUAGUCAGGACCUAAGACAAGGCCGAAAGGCGUAGUUGAUGGAUUACAGGUUUAUAUUCCUGUACUAUUUAUUUAUUGUCAUUGUUAGGGACGAAGAAGGCUAGUUUAGCUGAUAAAUGGUUAUUCAGUUUAAAGAUAUAAGCAAAAAAAAUUAAAUAUUUUGUAAAUUCUGAAAAUUAUACUAGUAUAUUAAAUACGGUUUAUGUAUUUUUAUUUGUAUUAAUAUAACUGAGGUCAUACUUCCAGGAAAAACUAACUUGACAAAAAUAAAUAAAUACCUGUACCGUAAACCGACACAGGUAGAUGAGUAGAGAAUACUAAGGGGAUCGAGAUAACUCUCUCUAAGGAACUCGGCAAAAUAGCCCUGUAACUUCGGGAAAAAGGGUGUCCUUAAAAAGGAUUGCAAUAACCAGGCCCAGACGACUGUUUAACAAAAACACAAGUCUCCGCAAAGUCGUAAGACCAUGUAUGGGGGCUGACGCCUGCCCAGUGCUGUAAGGUAAAAGAAGUUGGUGACCUGAACCAGGAAAGCUAGCAAUCUAAAUCUCAGUAAACGGCGGCCGUAACUAUAACGGUCCUAAGGUAGCAAAAUUCCUUGUCGGGUAAGUUCCGACCCGCAUGAAAGGCGUAACGAUCUAGGCACUGUCUCGGAGAGAGACUCGGUGAAAUAAAAAUGUCUGUGAAGAUGCGGACUAUUCACACCAGGACAGAAAGACCCUAUGAAGCUUUACUGUUCCCUGUGAUUGAUGUUGGUCUUUUUUGUAAAAUAUAGGUGGGAGGCAAUAUAUUCUCGUAUUAAGUCAUCAGUGAAAUACCACCCUAAUUAAGCUUAACUUCUAACUUGCUUUUUUAGCAAGGACAGUCUUUGGUAGACAGUUUAUAUGGGGCGUAGGCCUCCAAAAAAGUAACGGAGGCGUGCAAAAAAGGUUUUCUUAAAUCUAAUUUAUGAUUUUUAAGUGUAAAGGCAAAAGAAAGCCUAACUGUGAGACAAACAAGUCAAGCAGGAACGAAAGUUGGUCUUAGUGAUCCGAUGGUACCAAGUGGAUAGGGCCAUCGCUUAUCGGAUAAAAGUUACUCUAGGGAUAACAGGCUGAUCUUCCCCAAAAGUCCACAUCGACGGGAAGGUUUGGCACCUCGAUGUCGGCUCAUCGCCACCUGGAGCUGAAGGAGGUUCCAAGGGUUGGGCUGUUCGCCCAUUAAAGCGGUACGUGAGCUGGGUUCAGAACGUCGCGAGACAGUUCGGUCCAUAUCCGGUGUGAACGUUGGAGUAUUGAUGUUAAUUGUUCUUAGUACGAGAGGACCAGAACGAACGCACCACUUGUGUACUAGUUAUUAUUCCAAUAGUAAACGCUAGGUAGCUAUGUGCGUAAUGAACAACUGCUGAAAGCAUAUAAGUAGUAAGUUUAAACAAAGAUGAGUG